AUUGAACGCUGGCGGCAUGCUUUACACAUGCAAGUCGAACGGUAACAGGCCGCAAGGUGCUGACGAGUGGCGAGCGGGUGAGUAAUGCAUCGGAACGUGCCCAGUCGUGGGGGAUAACUACUCGAAAGAGUAGCUAAUACCGCAUACGAUCUAUGGAUGAAAGCGGGGGACCGUAAGGCCUCGCGCGAUUGGAGCGGCCGAUGUCAGAUUAGGUAGUUGGUGGGGUAAAGGCUCACCAAGCCAACGAUCUGUAGCUGGUCUGAGAGGACGACCAGCCACACUGGGACUGAGACACGGCCCAGACUCCUACGGGAGGCAGCAGUGGGGAAUUUUGGACAAAGGGCGCAAGCCUGAUCCAGCAAUGCCGCGUGCAGGAAGAAGGCCUUCGGGUUGUAAACUGCUUUUGUACGGAACGAAACGGCUCUGGUUAAUACCCGGGGCUAAUGACGGUACCGUAAGAAUAAGCACCGGCUAACUACGUG
rnacentral:rRNA from 1 species